rnacentral:rRNA from 1 species
UACGUAGGCAGCAAGCGUUGUUCGGAGUUACUGGGCGUAAAGGGUGUGUAGGCGGUUUUUUAAGUUUGGUGUGAAAUCUCCCGGCUCAACUGGGAGGGUGCGCCGAAUACUGAAUGACUUCGAGUGCGGGAGAGGAGAGUGGAAUUCCUGGUGUAGCGGUGAAAUGCGUAGAUAUCAGGAGGAACACCGGUGGUGUAGACGGCUCUCUGGACCGUAACUGACGCUGAGACACGAAAGCGUGGGUAGCAAACAGG